rnacentral:lncRNA from 12 species
UGUGCGCCCGCUCCCGGGGCCGCCCCUGCGCCGCCUCCGCCGGGCUCUGCUAGGAAGGCGGGGCCGCCGUCCCGCCCGGGCUGGGGACACGCACGACCGCGGGGCCGCCGUCCCGCCCGGGCUGGGGACACGCACGACCGCGGGGCCGCCGUCCCGCCCGGGCGGCGCUGCCCAGACCCCGUCGUGCGGCGCGUGGAGGGUCCGUUCCUGCAGGUGCAGGUUCCAGGGGCGCACGCCUUGGCUACGAGCCUCGCCGCGGGUCACCGCGCCGGGGCUUGCGGGCUGCCUGACGCGAGGGGCAGCGCGGCUCCCCUUCCCGGGUCCUCGCCGUCCUCUGCCUGGGUCUGGGCGCCGCGUUCCUUCACGUUUGCACCUCGACUCGCUGCCGUGUGCACGUGCCGGGCUGGGUGCCGGCGCGUGUGCGGGCCUCUCGGUGUCGGUUUCGGCCGCGGCACCCGGCGUGGUGGCUCGGCUUCCACCGUCGUCAGGGUCGUGUCGCUCAGGAGGAGCGCUGGAAAGCCCUUGGCGGUUGACGUGCCGCUAGGACUACAGGGGGUUCUUCUGGGCCCUUCUCUGCUCCUCCCCGGGCCUUGCAACGGCCCUGUGUUGCUCAGGAGCACGGGCCCGCACGCGUGGGGUGAUCUGUGUUCUCAAUUUCCGUCUUGGGGUCGCUCUGGGGAGAUGGCUGUGACGUGGCUUCAGGCUCCCCGGGUCCCCGUGGCUGUGAGUCCACUGAGGCGCCGUGGGCAGCGUUGCUCGUGUCCGCCACGGUGGUUGUGGGCUCCAGACCUCGCUGUGACUCGCAGACCUUCCGUCUGCACACCCACGGUACACGGGUUCUCACGCAUCGUCUGCUUUCUUUUCUUUGGCGCUCUGCGGGUCCCGAUCCUGGUCCCUUCCCGUCGCUUGUCCCGUGACGGGGACGUCUCUGUUGUAGAGGUCUUGUCCUCCCGCUGCCUUGGCCUCUGGAAGCUGUUUCCUUGGCUCCGGGCUCGCCUGGUCUUCCGGCUGACAGUGGGCCCGCGGUGGGCGUUAAUAGGCCGUGGGGGAGACGGGCCCUGA